GACAGAGGGUGCGAACGUUGUUCGGAAUUACUGGGCGUAAAGCGCAUGUAGGCGGCAGCGCAAGUCGGGCGUGAAAUCCCACGGCUCAACCGUGGAAGUGCACUCGAAACUGCGCAGCUAGAGUCCUGGAGAGGAAGGUGGAAUGCUUGGUGUAGAGGCGAAAUUCGUAGAUAUCAAGCGGAACACCGGUGGCGAAGGCGGCCUUCUGGACCGAGACUGACGCUGAGGCGCGAAAGCGUGGGGAGCAAACAGG
rnacentral:rRNA from 1 species